rnacentral:tRNA from 1 species
UAAUAGCUCAGCGGUUAGAGCUUAGGUCUUGUGACCGGAAGGUCCCGCGAUCGAAUCUCGCUAG